AGUGAACGCUGGCGGUAUGCCUAACACAUGCAAGUCGAACGGCAACACAGUAAUAGCUUGCUCUUACGGGUGGCGAGUGGCGGGCGGGUGAGGAAUACAUCGUAAUCUACUUUUUCGUAUGGGUUAACGUAGGUAAGCUUACUCUAAUACCGCAUACGACCUACGGUUGAAAGCAGUGGAUCUUCUGACCUUUCGCGAUUGAAUUAGCCGAUGUCGGAUUAGCUAGUUGGCGGGGUAAUGACCCACCAAGUCGACGAUCCGUAGCUUGUGUGAGAGGAUGAUCAGCGACACUGGAAGGGGGCCACGGACAAGACUACUAAGGGAGGCAGCAGUGGGGAAUAUUGGACAGUGGGGGCAAGUCUGAUACAGUGAUCCCGAGUGGGUGACGAAGGCGUUCGGGUUGUAAAGACGUUCUGUUGGGAAAGAAACGCAGUAGGUUAAUACCCAGCUGUUCUGACGGUAACGAAAGAAUAAGCACCGGCUAACUUCGUG
rnacentral:rRNA from 1 species